rnacentral:rRNA from 1 species
UGAGGAAUAUUGGGCAAUGCCCGCAAGGGUGACGCAGCAACGCCGCGUGGAGGAUGAAUGUCGUAAGAUUGUAAACUCCUGUUAGAGGGGAAGAAUAGUACCGGUUGGACCGGUAUAUGACUGUACCCUCAGAGAAAGCCCCGGCUAACUACGUGCCAGCAGCCGCGGUAAUACGUAGGGGGCAAGCGUUGUCCGGAUUUACUGGGUGUAAAGGGCGCGCAGGCGGGAUAAAAAGUCAGUGGUGAAAUCCUACAGCUUAACUGUAGAACUGCCUUUGAUACUUUUAUUCUUGAGUUCGGGAGAGAGAGACGGAAUUCCAGGUGUAGUGGUGAAAUACGUAGAUAUCUGGAAGAACACCAGUUGCGAAGGCGGUCUCUUGGUCCGACACUGACGCUGAGGCGCGAAAGCGUGGGGAGCAAACA